rnacentral:rRNA from 1 species
AUGUCUUCCACCAACAAGAUCUCGCUGAAGCUGCUUGUGGACACCAAGUCCAAGAAGGUGCUGUUCGCGGAGGCCGGCAAGAAGUUCGUCGACUUCGUCUUCAGCCUGCUCACGCUCCCCGUCGGCGCCGUCGCCAAGCUCAUCUCCGCCGGCGCCAUGCACGGCAGCAUCGGCCGGCUGUACCAGAGCGUGGACGACAUCGGCGGCUGCUACCUGCUCCCCGGCAAGGACAAGGCCGACCUGCUCCAGCCCAAGGUGCUGCACCCGGACACCCGCGAGCUGCUGCUGCUGCAGGGCGGCGUCCGCGCUGGUAAGGGCCAGGAUGAGGACGCCGCGUCGUCGCCGCUGGCGAGGUUCAAGAUCUACACCUGCGCCGGCUACUGCGCCACGGCCACCAUGGAGGCCAAGGCUGCGUGCCCGCAGUGCAAGCAGGCGAUGGCCACCGAGGUGACGUUCGUGCUGCCAUCCGCCGCGCCCAAGGCCGCGUCGUCGUCGUCUGGCGGCGCCGGCGGAGACGAGGGUGGCGGGUACGUGAAGGGGCUCGUGACGUACAUGGUGACGGACGGGCUGGAGGUGACCCCCAUGUCCGCCAUCUCCAGCAUCACCCUCAUCAACAAGUUCAGCGUCAACAAGGACGUGGAGCUCGCCGAGAAGUUCGUCAGCGUCGGCAUGGACGAGGGGCUCGGCCUCCUCAAGGCGGCGCUGCGCUCCGACACCGUGCUCUCCGACGUCUUCCUCGCCAAGAAGAAGUGA